rnacentral:tRNA from 1 species
GUUUUAAUAAUUUAAAAAAAAAUACUAGUCUUGUAAACUAGAAAUAAGAUUUCUUUUAAAACU